AAUUUAAUUAGAGUACUUGCUAUAAAUUGGCGUUAAUUUUGUUAAGUAGAAUUAAAGGCAUUUAAAGCCAUAUUCUGAUUCUUAUUUUCAUAAUUCACAAUCUAAAAUGUGCAGUCGUUCAAUAACAGUAUCUGUCAUCUGACAUUUGACUCACCAAAAAGUAAGACAUUUUUGUUAGGUUAAUAUGUAAUCAGGGUUGGGCAGAGGCUGGGAAAAGCUGGUGCUGAUGUAAUGUAUACCAAAGUUUUGCCUUUAAUUAUUUAUUCAGCAGAUCCCAGCAAAGCAGUAAUUGAUACUGAGGAUCCAAUUUUAAUUCUGAGAAUGAAAUGAAAUUCACAACACUUUAAUUUCAGAAUGGACCUUCUACUGCCCAAUCACAGGUACACUAAAAUUCAAGAUUUCACCAUUGUAUCCUAUAGCCAGCUUCAAAAAAACAAAAAAUGGCUUCAAAAUGAACCAGAAAGUCUCUUUGAUAGCCUUUCUCCAGCUGCACGUCAGAGAAGACAAGACGUGGCUCGGUGGCUUCAUGUUCUGACUCUUAGGAACAUGAGAAGCUGCCUUUUCUUGAGUCAGGCCCAUCGCUCCAAUGAGCUCAGUAUGGUCUACACUGACUGGCAGCAGCUCUGCAGGGUUGCAGCAGGAGAUGUCGGGGGCUGAAUGUGGGACCUUCUACAAUGCAAAGCCGAUGCCCUCCCACUGAGCGAUGACCCUUCCUCUAUUUUCUGCAACGAGAGAAGACUCAAUAAAGAUCAGUUUCAUAUAC